rnacentral:misc_RNA from 1 species
UACCCUUGACAUGCCAGGAAGCCUCUUGAGAGAGAGGUGUGCCCGAAAGGGAGCCUGGACACAGGUGCUGCAUGGCUGUCGUCAGCUCGUGUCGUGAGAUGUUGGGUUAAGUCCCGCAACGAGCGCAACCCUUGUCACUAGUUGCUACGGUAACGGGCACUCUAGUGAGACUGCCGGUGACAAACCGGAGGAAGGUGGGGAUGACGUGUCGUUACCUUA